rnacentral:rRNA from 1 species
UACGUAGGUGGCAAGCGUUGUCCGGAAUUAUUGGGCGUAAAGCGCGCGCAGGCGGUCCUUUAAGUCUGAUGUGAAAGCCCACGGCUCAACCGUGGAGGGUCAUUGGAAACUGGGGGACUUGAGUGCAGAAGAGGAAAGCGGAAUUCCACGUGUAGCGGUGAAAUGCGUAGAGAUGUGGAGGAACACCAGUGGCGAAGGCGGCUUUCUGGGCUGUAACUGACGCUGAGGCGCGAAAGCGGGGGGAGGAAACAGG